rnacentral:rRNA from 1 species
UACGUAGGGGGCAAGCGUUGUCCGGAUUUAUUGGGCGUAAAGAGCGUGUAGGCGGCUAGGUAGGUCCGUUGUGAAAACUCGAGGCUCAACCUCGAGCUGUCGAUGGAAACCAUCUGGCUAGAGUCCGGAAGAGGAGAGUGGAAUUCCUGGUGUAGCGGUGAAAUGCGCAGAUAUCAGGAAGAACACCCGUGGCGAAGGCGCUCUGCUAGGCCGCAACUGACACUGAGGGACGAAAGCUAGGGGAGCGAAUGGG